rnacentral:rRNA from 1 species
UACGUAGGGGGGCAAGCGUUGUCCGGAAUCAUUGGGCGUAAAGAGCGUGUAGGCGGCUCGGUAAGUCCGCUCUGAAAGCCCGGGGCUCAACCCCGGGAGGCGGGCGGAUACUGUCGGGCUAGAGUCCGGAAGAGGCGAGUGGAAUUCCUGGUGUAGCGGUGAAAUGCGCAGAUAUCAGGAGGAACACCAAUGGCGAAGGCAGCUCGCUGGGACGGUACUGACGCUGAGACGCGAAAGCGUGGGGGAGCAACAGG